GCGGUGGAGUAUGUGUUUAAUUCGAUGCAACGCGAAGAACCUACCUGGUCUUGACAUCCCGGAGACCCUUAGGAACUAGGGGUGCUUCCAUCUGGAAGAAUCUGGAGACAGGUGCUGCAUGGCUGUCGUCAGCUCGUGUCGUGAGAUGUUGGGUUAAGUCCCGCAACGAGCGCAACCCUUGCCUUUAGUUGCCAGCAGUUCGGCUGGGCACUCUAAAGGGACUGCCGGUGUUAAACCGGAGGAAGGUGGGGAUGACGUCAAGUCCUCAUGGCCUUUAUGACCAGGGCUACACACGUACUACAAUGGCCGAUACAAAGGGCAGCGACACUGCGAGGUGAAGCCAAUCCCGUAAAAUCGGUCUCAGUCCGGAUUGGAGUCUGCAACUCGACUCCAUGAAGUUGGAAUCGCUAGUAAUCGUGGAUCAGCAUGCCACGGUGAAUACGUUCCCGGGCCUU
rnacentral:rRNA from 1 species